UACGGCCACAUAAUGUUGAAACAUUGGUUCCUGUACGAUCACCGAAGUUAAGCAACCUGGUCAGUACCUAGAUGGGUGACCACUUGGGAAUAUCAGGGGUUGUAAG